CUCUUCUUCUUUGUUCCACUCCGAUCGGUUUCGACGAUACGGAGACGGAGAAGGGAAGCUGGAAGGCGGAUUGCCGGAUCCAGCGGUGAUCCGUUGCUUACUGCCUUCCAAGAUGAAACCCUCGCCAGAUCAUUCGGCGAGAGGAGCAACCAGCCCUAGGACGACUGUUUUCACCCGCCCGAUCUCGAUGGUCUCUUAGCCCUCGCGCCGACGGAGGAGAAACUUGCGCUUGAGUUAGGCGAAUAUGGUGGCGUCUUCUAGAUAACGGAUAGCAGGGAGGAAGAGUAUGUUUUAUGUCAUAAAGAUCACAUGGUGUCAUGUGGAACUCAUACAGCCAUUGCGCUUCCAUUGCGGCGUUCUGUCUCCAUACCCAACAUGCCUCGCUGUUAUUCCAACGCAAACGAAGACGAUGAAGAAACCUGCUGCGCGUGCUGCCUUGGCUCCAAUGCUUCCUUCCUCCCUGAUCUGUACGAUCCUCCCUCAAGUAGCAUUUUUUUCUUCCUGAACGGGUCCACUAAAUGACAAGAAAAUGAGCUGCAGUCUCUCUGGUUGUCAUCUGUUGAAGUCGAACUAUAUUUUCAUUGAAAUUUUCAUUCUUCUCUCAAUCGUCACCACGGCAUGUAGUCUUAUAUUCUGAAAGAAAUUAGAUCCACUGUGUUAGUGCUAAAACCUGUGUUUCUUUCGGCUAACUCAACUUAUGUAGGACGAAAUCUUGGUAAAAAGUUAUUCCUUUAG